rnacentral:misc_RNA from 1 species
GAUGAAGAACGUAGCGAAAUGCGAUAAGUAAUGUGAAUUGCAGAAUUCAGUGAAUCAUCGAAUCUUUGAACGCACAUUGCGCCCCUUGGUAUUCCGAGGGGCAUGCCUGUUCGAGCGUCAUUAUAACCCCUCAAGCUCAGCUUGGUGUUGAGGCCUGCCGCACUGGCAGCCCUUAAAAUCAGUGGCGGCGCCAUCUGGCUCUAAGCGUAGUAAUUCUUCUCGCUAUGGAGUCCUGGUGGAUGCUUGCCAUCAACCCCCAAUUUUUCUAUGGUUGACCUCGGAUCAGGUAGGGAUACCCGCUGAACUUAAGCAUAUCAAUAAGCGGAGGA